rnacentral:rRNA from 1 species
AUUGAACGCUGGCGGUAGGCCUAACACAUGCAAGUCGAGCGGCUGAAGAGAGAUAGCUCGUUGAUACAGCGGGGGAGGGGUGAAUAAUGGAUAAGUAUCUCGCAAGCAGCGGUGGAUAAGGGGAGAAAGUGGGGGAUCAUACCCUAAUAGUCCUGAGGGCGAACGUGGGAGAGCUGCGGAUCUUCGGACAUCGCGCGAGCCUAGGUCGGAUUAGCUAGUUGGUGGGGUAAAGGCCUACCAAGGCGACGAUCCGUAACUGGUCCGAGAGGAUGAUCAGUCACACUGGAACUGAGACACGGUCCAGACUCCUACGGGAGGCAGCAGUGGGGAAUAUUGGACAAUGGGCGAAAGCCUGAUCCAGCCAUGCCGCGUGUGUGAAGAAGGUCUUCGGAUUGUAAAGCACUUUAAGUUGGGAAGAAGAGCAGUAAGUUAAUACCUUGCUGUUUUGACGUUACCAACAGAAUAAGCACCGGCUAACUUCGUG